CGUAGUAAUUCUAGAGCUA
rnacentral:siRNA from 1 species